UAUAUGUAUAUAUAUGUAUAUAUAUAUAUAUUUGAAUUAAUCAACGGAGCCAGUUUAUUUCUUCCCAUACAAGAUGAUACCAGUGCACUCUUUAGUUGAGAUGUAUGUAUGUAUAUAUAUGUACAUAUAUAUAUAUCACACAUACAUGUGAACAUAUGUUUAU